UUUCCGUAGGUGAACCUGCGGAAGGAUCAUUACAGAGUUGAGGUGACCUCGUGGCUGACCCCCUUACGGGGCAUUCAGCAGGGGUCAUACUCCUCACCACCCGUGUUUACCAUACCUGUUGCUUCGGCGGGCCCGCCGCUCGUCGGCCGCCGGGGGACAAUCGUCCCCGGGCCCGUGCCCGCCGAAGACCCCUCGAACACUGCCUGAAGGUUGCUGUCUGAGUGAAAAAUAAACAAAACAAAACUUUCAACAACGGAUCUCUUGGUUCCG
rnacentral:misc_RNA from 1 species